GGGGGGUUAAAAUGGGUCAGCAUAUCUCACCUGUCCUAAUCCUGUUCUUUAUAGUCACCUGUGGAAGCUGUGCAACCAUGUCCUUCUAUAUCAUUACACACACACACACACACUGUACACACACAACCACACUGUGUACACACAUGAGAUGUAAGCACCUCAUCAAACUGUGCCAUCAGCUUCCUGUUCCUGUAUAGUGAGUCUAGCUGUCUGAGCCUCCCGUUCUUCAGCUUUCACAUUCCUUUACAAAGGGAUAUUCUUUCUCCUUCAACUGUGAAAAGAUAUAUCUAUAGAAAACAUACAGAUUAAUAUAUGUACUAUCAACUUAUGUAUAGUGUCCAUAUUCCCCCCCAAAAAAAUAUUUAUACAUUUUGUUAAAAAAAAAUAAAAAAAAAUAAAUGAAGAAAAAAAUCUGAAAGAAAAGGUGUCCUGAAGUGGAGGUGAAGUUGACAGUUGGAGAUAUUUAUGCUAAAGGACACUAAAGGAAACUGGUCACUGCGACUGUUUCAAAGAAAAGACCCAGAGUCCCUUCACCUUACCACUAUUACACAAUAUCAUUAGAUGUGCAACAAUGUAUCCAAUUUAAUGUGUUUUAACAUCAACAACAAAAAAGAUUGACUUAUUUUUGUUGAUUUUUAUCUGCAAUUUCUGUGCAUUUGAGCCAAAUUGUUACAUGUACAAGAGCUAUAUUGUGUAUUUUAUUAAAUGAAUAUAUCGUUGUGUUGCAAUAUACAUGGGCUUUAUAUUGUAUUUGACAACCUCGCCUUAGUAGCUUGUCGAACUCUAUGAGUUUAAUUCAGUUUGGGGAUGUAUCCCGAAUAGCACCCUGUUUCCUGUGGAGUGCACUAGUUUUGACCAGGGCCCAUAGGGACACUCAUAGGGCUCUGGUCAAAACUAGUGCACUACAUAGGUUAUAGGGUUCCAUUUAGGACUCAGCCUUGGGUUUUGUUUUGUUUUUCGUCUGUGUGUUCUCCUCUCUACGUUUGCGUCCUUGCAGGAUGGGCUUCACGCUGCUUUCAGACAUGUUCUCCUCUCUUUCCUACCUGACAUCACAACGCUUCAUAUUUAUUACAACACGGUCCAGCUUGAUGCGUCAGCACAUUUAGACUACAAAACAAAACAAACAAUGAAAACUACAACGACCACGUUCAACAACCGUUGGGACUAUUUUUACUAUUGAAAGCGUUAUCUUUCUGGAGGACAGCUCAUUUUAUUUUUUAAAACCAUUUCCUGUUCUUCUUACACUGUUGGUUUAUAUUUAUUGUUAUUUUUCCAAAAUACAAAAAAACUGCCAUUAUGUGGAGUUGUUACCAUGGCGAUUAUAUACAGAAUAAUACUGUGUGUUCCAAAUGGAACCCUAUUCCCUAUAUAGUGCACUACUGUUUUUACCAGGGCCUUAUAGAACUUUGCUCAAAAAGUAGUGCACUAUAUAGGGAAUAAGGGUGCUACUUUUGGAUACAGUUAAAUACACGCUUCUAUUGUUCCUGUUCAGCUUGUGGCUCCUGAAAAAGCACUGGUCCAGAAUCAGAUUGUGUGUUUUAUAUAAAGGACCAACAAAGGAAAAAGGUGCUAUGUGUUCUUUCUGUCUGUUCAAUACGCAUCAUCGCUUCGCUCACACCGUUGAGGAGAAAACAUCACAAACUCAUUUACACUGAAAUGUGUUUAAACAUGUUUCAUGUUUUUAGCUGUACAAGUAGACUUUAAA
rnacentral:lncRNA from 1 species